UUGGCGGCGGGCGGCGGCUCGCUUCCUCUCCUCCACCGCACCUCCAAGAAUCCACCCCUGCCUGACGCCUCCACCUCCACGACUGAGCUGACGGCUCGGCGGCGCCAUGGCGGUUCUCCGGCUCCAACCUUCCCCCUCCGGCCUACAAUGCUCCACCGCCCGGUCGCCAGUGCUCCUCCAUGGGCCACGGCUGACGGGUGCACGCACCGGACUUCCGCUUCUGCCCCUGCACAUCCCGCCCUUGGUCGCGCACCUCGGCAUGUUCCUCGGCUCGACGGCUACUGUCUUGAGGCGUACGGUGGCCGCCCACCUCGUACCCAGUCACCAGAUCUCAAGUUCCACCUCAAAAUCCAGAUCAAGUGA
rnacentral:misc_RNA from 1 species